AAUAGUUCUGCUACUCAUUUGCUCCUUGUCCACACUUGACUAUUGUAAGAUAAUCCCUGUAUUACUGUUCCCUUAGCCAUCUUUUCUUCCACAACUCCCUAAAAAAAAAAAAGUGCGGCUUUACUUUACAGCUAAUUUGCUGUAAUCACAUUGCCCAGAAAAGAGCACAGCUGCUCACAAUGAAGAAAGAGAAAAUGGGAACAGAGGGAACCUUAUAAUGAAGUGGGGGUGGGGGGAGCAGUAAGGGGGUGGAAAGAACUGUUAGUUGCUGUUGGAGUCAUUUGAGACAAGGGAAAAACAGGAGUAGGUUAGUGUGUUGACCCUGAGCCUUGGAAUGGAUGAAAAUGGAAGGAAAAAGCAACCAAAGAGUAAACUCUUUUGCGGCCUGAAGCUGCUUCUAUCACUGGAAAUUCAAGAGUCAGAGCACGUUUGAAAGAAAUUCCUCAUCAUCCACAGCUAUCAUUUAGGACUAGCCUGAAGCGAUCUUCAAAGAAGUUUUGAAUCCCUGGAAUCUUCUGUAGGCUCUUCUCAAGCAACACCUUCUUUUCCAUUCUCUGUUUGCUAGCAUCUUCCUCCCACUAUUACUUUGGGUAUAUCUUGGAUUUGCUUGCCUGCAUAUGUUGUUAAACAAAAUGUUUCCCCUGCAAGCUCCUUAGGAGCACAUACUAUUUUAUUUUUGUCUUUGUACUUCCAGCAUCAUGCCUGGCACAUACUAGGCACUUAAUACAUUUUUUUUUAACCAGACCUGUGAUUUUCAUUGAUUGCUUCAAGGAAUUCCCAGUAAGGAAAUUGUUUCUCCCAAAGUAGAUCAGCACCUGCCCUGCCACUUCCAACCUUGAAGGGUGUGAGUAGCAUCCUUAGAGGUUAGACAACUUUCCCAGAGUCACAAAGCCAGAAUGUGUCCAAGAUGGGACUUGAACCCUGGUGUUCUUGUCCCUUAGGCAAGCUUCUAUCUUCUAGUGAGAUUACCUCUCAAUAACUACUU
rnacentral:lncRNA from 1 species